GACCCCAUCGUCCAGUGGUUUAGGACACCAGAUUUUCGAUCUGGUAACACGGGUUCGAAUCCCGUUGGGGUCGCCA
rnacentral:tRNA from 1 species